rnacentral:rRNA from 1 species
AGUGAACGCUGGCGGUAGGCCUAACACAUGCAAGUCGAACGGCAGCACAGUAAGAGCUUGCUCUUACGGGUGGCGAGUGGCGGACGGGUGAGGAAUACAUCGGAAUCUACUUUUUCGUGGGGGAUAACGUAGGGAAACUUACGCUAAUACCGCAUACGACCUACGGGUGAAAGCAGGGGAUCUUCGGACCUUGCGCGAUUGAAUGAGCCGAUGUCGGAUUAGCUAGUUGGCGGGGUAAAGGCCCACCAAGGCGACGAUCCGUAGAUGGUCUGAGAGGAUGAUCAGCCACACUGGAACUGAGGCACGGUCCAGACUCCUACGGGAGGCAGCAGUGGGGAAUAUUGGACAAUGGGCGCAAGCCUGAUCCAGCCAUACCGCGUGGGUGAAGAAGGCCUUCGGGUUGUAAAGCCCUUUUGUUGGGAAAGAAAAGCAGCAGGUUAAUACCCCGCUGUUCUGACGGUACCCAAAGAAUAAGCACCGGCUAACUUCGUG